UACGUAGGGUGCAAGCGUUAUCCGGAAUUAUUGGGCGUAAAGAGCUCGUAGGCGGUCUGUCGCGUCUGCUGUGAAAACUGGGGGCUCAACCCCCAGCCUGCAGUUGGUACGGGCAGACUAGAGUGCGGUAGGGGAGAUUGGAACUCCUGGUGUAGCGGUGGAAUGCGCAGAUAUCAGGAAGAACACCGAUGGCGAAGGCAGAUCUCUGGGCCGUAACUGACGCUGAGGAGCGAAAGCAUGGGGAGCGAACAGG
rnacentral:rRNA from 1 species